CUUUAUUGGAGAGUUUGAUCCUGGCUCAGGAUGAACGCUGGCGGCGUGCCUAAUACAUGCAAGUCGAGCGAAUGGAUUAAGAGCUUGCUCUUAUGAAGUUAGCGGCGGACGGGUGAGUAACACGUGGGUAACCUGCCCAUAAGACUGGGAUAACUCC
rnacentral:rRNA from 3 species